UACGUAGGGGCCAAGCGUUGUCCGGAUUUAUUGGGCGUAAAGAGCUCGUAGGCGGUUCGGCAAGUCGGAUGUGAAAUCUCCACGCUUAACGUGGAGGAGCCAUUCGAAACUGCCGUGACUCGAGUCCCGGUAGGGGAGUGGUGGAAUUCCCGGUGUAGCGGGUGAAAUGCGCAGAAUAUCGGGAGGAACACCAGUAGCGAAGGCGGCACUCUGGGCCGGGUACUGGACGCUGAGGAGCGAAA
rnacentral:rRNA from 1 species